rnacentral:rRNA from 1 species
AUCAACUUUCGAUGGUAGGAUAGAGGCCUACCAUGGUGGUAACGGGUAACGGGGUGUUAGGGCACGACACCGGAGAGGGAGCCUGAGAAACGGCUACCACAUCCAAGGAUGGCAGCAGGCGCGCAAAUUACCCAAUCCCGACACGGGGAGGUAGUGACAAUAAAUAACAAUACGGGGUCCUUUGGGUCUCGUAAUUGGAAUGAGUACAAUUUAAAUCUCUUAACGAGGAACAAUUGGAGGGCAGGUCUGGUGCCAGCAGCCGCGGUAAUUCCAGCUCCAAUAGCGUAUAUUAAAGUUGUUGCAGUUAAAAAGCUCGUAGUUGAAUUUCGGGGUCGGUAGGUUGGUCAUGCCAUCGGUAUGCACUGGUCUCACCGAUUCCUCCCUCUUGUAGAAGCGUAAUGCCAUUAAGUUGGUGUUACGGGGAAACAGGACUGUUACUUUGAAAAAAUUAGAGUGUUUAAAGCAGGCUAACGCUUGAAUACAUUAGCAUGGAAUAAUGAAAUAGGACGUCGAUCCUAUUUUGUUGGUUUCUAGGGUUGACGUAAUGAUUAAUAGGGAUAGUUGGGGGCAUUAGUAUUCAAUUGUCAGAGGUGAAAUUCUUGGAUUUAUUGAAGACUAACUACUGCGAAAGCAUUUGCCAAGGAUGUUUUCAUUAAUCAAGAACGAAAGUUAGGGGAUCGAAGACGAUCAGAUACCGUCGUAGUCUUAACCAUAAACUAUGCCGACUAGGGAUCGGAUGAUGUUAAUUUUUUAAUGACUCAUUCGGCGCCUUACGGGAAACCAAAGUGUUUGGGUUC